AACGAACGCUGGCGGCAUGCCUAACACAUGCAAGUCGAACGAGACCUUCGGGUCUAGUGGCGCACGGGUGCGUAACGCGUGGGAACCUGCCCUUAGGUUCGGAAUAACUCCCCGAAAGGGGUGCUAAUACCGGAUAAUGUCUUCGGACCAAAGAUUUAUCGCCUUUGGAUGGGCCCGCGUUGGAUUAGCUAGUUGGUAGGGUAAAAGCCUACCAAGGCGACGAUCCAUAGCUGGUCUGAGAGGAUGAUCAGCCACACUGGGACUGAGACACGGCCCAGACUCCUACGGGAGGCAGCAGUGGGGAAUAUUGGACAAUGGGCGAAGGCCUGAUCCAGCAAUGCCGCGUGAGUGAUGAAGGCCUUAGGGUUGUAAUGCUCUUUUACCCGGGAUGAUAAUGACAGUACCGGGAGAAUAAGCUCCGGCUAACUCCGUG
rnacentral:rRNA from 1 species